AACGUACGCUGGCGGCAUGCCUAACACAUGCAAGUCGAACGAUCCCUUCGGGGAUAGUGGCGCACGGGUGCGUAACGCGUGGGAACCUGCCCUUAGGUUCGGAAUAACUCAGAGAAAUUUGAGCUAAUACCGGAUAAUGUCUUCGGACCAAAGAUUUAUCGCCUUUGGAUGGGCCCGCGUUGGAUUAGCUAGUUGGUGGGGUAAAGGCCUACCAAGGCGACGAUCCAUAGCUGGUCUGAGAGGAUGAUCAGCCACACUGGGACUGAGACACGGCCCAGACUCCUACGGGAGGCAGCAGUGGGGAAUAUUGGACAAUGGGCGAAAGCCUGAUCCAGCAAUGCCGCGUGAGUGAUGAAGGCCUUAGGGUUGUAAAGCUCUUUUACCCGGGAUGAUAAUGACAGUACCGGGAGAAUAAGCCCCGGCUAACUCCGUG
rnacentral:rRNA from 1 species